UUAAAGUGGGGGGGGGGGGGGCGAGAUGCUUAAAGGGACCGGUCCCCAAAGAGGAGAGAGAUUUAAAGGUGCAGGCUGCCGGGCUGUCGCCGGCCAGGGGGGGGCCGAGCUCGGCGCGCAGGAGACCUACGUAAAGUGGUAGGUGCUCGGGAGAGCAGGACGCUUUAAGGAGACCAGAGGCAAGCUUGUGAAGAGGCUGGGAUGGGGUGAGAACACGUCCGUUGAAGGCAGGGAUAAAGGAGUCGCUUGUCAAGGGCCCGGCGAGGUCUCCCUCUAAGGAAAAAAGAACAUGCACUCCUGCUCUCCCCCAAUGUCCUUUCUGGCUCCUCCAGGUUCCCUUGACCCCGGACCCCCCCGUUCCCAGGCUAUGGCCCCCAGUGCCCUGUAGACCUGGCGCGACUCCCGUGCUUUCGACCCCUAUUUGGGGCCCUGGGUGGCUACUGGAGGGCCUUGCAGAGGGGCAGAGAAGGCAGGACCAUGGCAUCUAGGGCCUCUGAACCUCCCUCAGGGCGCAGCGUGACGGCGGGCAUCAUCAUUGUUGGAGAUGAGAUCCUCAAGGGACACACUCAGGACACCAACACCUACUUUCUAUGCCGGACACUGCGCUCCCUGGGGGUCCAGGUGUGCCGGGUCUCUGUCGUACCCGACGAGGUGGCCACCAUCGCGGCAGAGGUCACUUCUUUCUCCAGCCGCUUCACCCACGUCCUCACGGCAGGGGGCAUCGGCCCCACUCACGAUGAUGUGACCUUUGAGGCGGUAGCACAGGCCUUCGGGGAUGAGCUCAAGCCGCACCCCGAGCUGGAAGCGGCCAUCCGAGCCCUCGGAGGGAAGGGCUGCGAGAAGCUGUCCGUAGUGCCCUCCUCCGCCCGCCUGCAUUACGGCACAGACCCUCACACGGGCCGGCCCUUCAAGUUCCCGCUGGUCUCCGUCCGAAAUGUCUACCUCUUCCCGGGCAUUCCCGAGCUGCUGCGGAGGGUGCUGGAGGGGCUGAAGGGGCUGUUCCGAAACACGGCGGUGCAGUUCCACCUGCGGGAGCUGUACGUGGCCGCCGACGAGGCCUCCAUCGCCCCCGUGCUGGCUGAGGCGCAGGCCCACUUUGGGCGCAGGCUCGGCCUGGGCUCCUACCCCGACUGGGGCAGCAACUACUAUCGGGUGAAGCUGUCGUUGGACUCGGAGGAAGAGGGGCCGCUGGAGGAGUGCCUGGCCUACCUGACUGCCCGUCUGCCCCCGGGAUCGCUGGUCCCCUACGUGCCCGACGCCGUGGGGCAGGCCAGGGAGGCUGUCUACCAGCUCGCAGAAUCAGGGUCUUCUCUGGGGGGGAAGGUGGCAGGCGCCCUGCAGACCAUUGAGACCGCCCUGGCUCAGUAUGACCUCAGCCACCUUUGCGUGGGCUUCAAUGGAGGCAAGGACUGCACGGCCCUCCUGCACCUCUUCCACGCGGCCGUGCAGAGGACACGCCCCGAUACUCAGGAGCCCCUCCAGAUCCUGUACAUCCGCAACAUCUCCCCCUUCCCCGAGCUGGAGCAGUUCCUACAGGACACCAUCAAGAGGUAUAAUCUGCAGGUGCUGGAGGCCGAGGGCCACAUGAAGCAGGCCCUGUGUGAGCUGCAGGCCCGGCACCCCCGGCUGGAGGCCGUCCUGAUGGGCACCCGCCGCACCGACCCCUACUCCUGCAGCCUCCACCCCUUCAGCCCCACGGACCCUGGCUGGCCUGCCUUCGUGCGCGUCAACCCGCUGCUGGUAACGGGGAGGGGGCCGCAGCGCCUCCCGUCUCCCGACCCCUGUCGCUCAUUGCGCCCUGGCCCCCCACGUGGGAGAGGUGGGAGCCCGGGGCUCGCGUGAGGGACCCCCAUCACCCAAGGGAGGCCGUGCUGCUCGGCCGUUCAGCUUUCUGACCAUUCUGUAGGGAGCACCGAUUCCGUGGCGGGCUUGUGCUUUCUACCUUUAGGUCUGCACUGCCCAGAAUGGCAGCCACCAGCCUCUUAUCGAUACUCAAAUUACAACCUACUGAAAUGAAAGAAAGAAUGACCCCAAACCACUGAGUGGUGCGCUCCGAGUGUGACGAAUUCUGUGGUGACUGGACCUACAGAGACAUCUGGGACUUCCUGCGGCAGCUGUUUGUCCCGUACUGUGUCCUAUAUGACCGAGG